AAGUCGUAACAAGGUUUCCGUAGGUGAACCUGCGGAAGGAUCAUUACAUUCAGUAGCCUAGCUACUUGUAUAUACCCUUGUUUUUUGCGUACCUAUUGUUUCCUCGGCGGGCUUGCCUGCCGAUUGGACAAAAUUAUAACCUUUUUAAAUCUUCAAUCAGCGUCUGAAUUAUACAUAAUAAUUACAACUUUCAACAACGGAUCUCUUGGUUCUG
rnacentral:misc_RNA from 1 species